CCAAAAGAUAUAAAUUAUUAUUAUUAUUAUUUUAUCUUGUGAUCUCUCUCAACUGACUCCAUUGCUAUUUAAGAAUCAUUUUCCAUAUUCUCUGGGCUCCAUCCUUUACAAAAUUGCCCUAAAAUGUGCUGGUUUCGUUCUUUCACCUCCCUUCUUCUUCUUCGAUUCUUCUCUCGACUGCCCUGAUUUUUAGUGCCCUCGGUUUUUUUAGUUGG
rnacentral:misc_RNA from 1 species